ensembl:snRNA U6 U6 spliceosomal RNA
GUGUGCUCACUUCGGCCGCACACACACUAACACUGAAACAGGAUGGCGAAGAGGAGCGUGGCCCCUGUGCAGAGAUGACACGCAGAGUCUUGAAGUGUUCCAUAUUUAA